rnacentral:rRNA from 1 species
UACGUAGGGCGCAAGCGUUAUCCGGAAUUAUUGGGCGUAAAGAGCUCGUAGGCGGUCUGUCGCGUCGAAUGUGAAAACCCGGGGCUCAACCCCGGGCCUGCAUUCGAUACGGGCAGACUAGAGUUCGGUAGGGGAGUCUGGAAUUCCUGGUGUAGCGGUGAAAUGCGCAGAUAUCAGGAGGAACACCGGUGGCGAAGGCGGGACUCUGGGCCGAUACUGACGCUGAGGAGCGAAAGCGUGGGGAGCAAACAGG